UACGGAGGGGCUAGCGUUGUUCGGAAUUACUGGGCGUAAAGGGCUCGUAGGUGGCCAACUAAGUCAGACGUGAAAUCCCUCAGCUUAACUGGGAACUGCGUCUGAUACUGGAUGGCUUGAGUUUGGAGAGGGAUGCGGAAUUCCGAGGUGUAGCGGUGAAAUGCGUAGAUAUCUGGAGGAACACCGGUGGCGAAGGCGGCAUCCUGGACCAACACUGACGCUCAUGCACGAAAGCGUGGGAGCAAACAGG
rnacentral:rRNA from 1 species